rnacentral:rRNA from 1 species
UCGAGAAUCUUCGGCAAUGGACGCAAGUCUGACCGAGCGACGCCGCGUGUGGGAUGAAGGCCUUCGGGUUGUAAACCACGAAAGUGGGGAGGAAAUCACUAGGGGUUCUCCCCUAGAGUUGACCUAUCCACAGUAAGGACGGGCUAAGUACGUGCCAGCAGCCGCGGUAAUACGUACCGUCCAAACGUUAUUCGGAAUUACUGGGCUUAAAGGGUACGUAGGCGGCGCUGUUAGUCGGGUGUGAAAUCCCACGGCUCAACCGUGGAACUGCGCCCGAUACUGCAGUGCUUGAGGGAGACAGAGGUAAGCGGAACUGAUGGUGGAGCGGUGAAAUGCGUUGAUAUCAUCAGGAACACCGGUGGCGAAAGCGGCUUACUGGGUCUCUUCUGACGCUGAGGUACGAAAGCUAGGGUAGCGAAGGG